rnacentral:rRNA from 1 species
ACGAACGCUGGCGGCAUGCCUAACACAUGCAAGUCGAACGAGACCUUCGGGUCUAGUGGCGCACGGGUGCGUAACGCGUGGGAAUCUGCCCCUCGGUUCGGAAUAACAGUUAGAAAUGACUGCUAAUACCGGAUAAUGACGUAAGUCCAAAGAUUUAUCGCCGAGGGAUGAGCCCGCGUAGGAUUAGCUUGUUGGUGGGGUAAUGGCCCACCAAGGCGACGAUCCUUAGCUGGUCUGAGAGGAUGAUCAGCCACACUGGGACUGAGACACGGCCCAGACUCCUACGGGAGGCAGCAGUGGGGAAUAUUGGACAAUGGGUGAAAGCCUGAUCCAGCAAUGCCGCGUGAGUGAUGAAGGCCUUAGGGUUGUAAAGUUCUUUUGCCCGUGACGAUGAUGACGGUAACGGGAGAAUAAGCCCCGGCUAACUUCGU